UACGAAGGGGGCUAGCGUUGCUCGGAAUCACUGGGCGUAAAGGGUGCGUAGGCGGGUCUUUAAGUCAGGGGUGAAAUCCUGGAGCUCAACUCCAGAACUGCCUUUGAUACUGAGGAUCUUGAGUUCGGGAGAGGUGAGUGGAACUGCGAGUGUAGAGGUGAAAUUCGUAGAUAUUCGCAAGAACACCAGUGGCGAAGGCGGCUUCCUGGUCCAGCACCGACGUUCAGGCACGAAAGCGUGGGGAGCAAACAGG
rnacentral:rRNA from 1 species